AUUGAACGCUGGCGGCAUGCCUUACACAUGCAAGUCGAACGGCAGUACGGGUGCUUGCACCUGGUGGCGAGUGGCGAACGGGUGAGUAAUACAUCGGAACAUGUCCUGUAGUGGGGGAUAGCCCGGCGAAAGCCGGAUUAAUACCGCAUACGAUCUACGGAUGAAAGCGGGGGACCUUCGGGCCUCGCGCUAUAGGGUUGGCCGAUGGCUGAUUAGCUAGUUGGUGGGGUAAAGGCCUACCAAGGCGACGAUCAGUAGCUGGUCUGAGAGGACGACCAGCCACACUGGGACUGAGCCACGGCCCAGACUCCUACGGGAGGCAGCAGUGGGGAAUUUUGGACAAUGGGCGAAAGCCUGAUCCAGCAAUGCCGCGUGUGUGAAGAAGGCCUUCGGGUUGUAAAGCACUUUUGUCCGGAAAGAAAUCCUUGGCCCUAAUACGGUCGGGGGAUGACGGUACCGGAAGAAUAAGCACCGGCUAACUACGUG
rnacentral:rRNA from 1 species